AGAGUUAUAGUAUAAAUUUUAUUAUAUUAAAUUGCAAAUUUAAGGAUUCUAACUUUU
rnacentral:tRNA from 1 species